UUAGGGUUAGGGUUAGGUGUAGGGUUAGAUUUUAGGGUUGAUUAAUGAUUAAGGUUAGGGUUAGGUGUAGGGUUAGAUUUUAGGGUUGAUUAAUGAUUAAGGUUAGGGUUAGGUGUAGGGUUAGAUUUUAGGGUUGAUUAAGGGUUAAGGUUAAGGUUAGGUGUAGGGUUAGAUUUUAGGGUUGAUUAAUGAUUAAGGUUAGGGUUAGGUGUAGGGUUAGAUUUUAGGGUUGAUUAAUGAUUAAGGUUAGGGUUAGGUGUAGGGUUAGAUUUUAGGGUUGAUUAAGGGUUAAGGUUAGGGUUAGGUGUAGGGUUAGAUUUUAGGGUUGAUUAAUGAUUAAGGUUAGGGUUAGC